rnacentral:lncRNA from 1 species
UCCCCUUCUUUAUGCAUCCAUUUCAUUUGGCCUAUGAUAUCUCAAAGUCCUAAAGCUAGUUGAUUGAAGAAUCAACAUGAGUAUGGAUGAGAUUAGACCACCUCUUUUGCAUAUUCUUCUUGUGUGUGGUAUUUUUCAUGAGCAUAGUCCAUUAUACUAUGUCUCUAACAUGCAUUAACACCAAAAUUCUAUUGCCCAAUCUCAAAUAGUUGUGACUUCUACAUAAGUCCAAUUACGAUUGCUUAACAUAACGCUAAAUUUUUGAUGCAAAAGGCAUAACAUUCUAGUUAGUGAGAUUGUAAGCCUCCCCUCUUUCAUGGUAUUGUGUGGAAACUUGGCAUUUUUU